rnacentral:rRNA from 1 species
AAUUGGAGGGCAAGUCUGGUGCCAGCAGCCGCGGUAAUUCCAGCUCCAAUAGCGUAUAUUAAAGUUGUUGCAGUUAAAAAGCUCGUAGUUGAAUUUCGGGAUCAAUAUUUCGGUCAUGCCGUUGGUAUGCACUGUUAUCAUUGAUUUCUCACCUUCUAAAGAACCGUAAUGCCAUUAAUUUGGUGUUACGGGGAAUUAGGACUGUUACCUUGAAAAAAUUAGAGUGUUUAAAGCAGGCUCACGCUUGAAUACAUUAGCAUGGAAUAAUGAAAUAGGACAUCCGAUUCUAUUUUGUUGGUUUCUAGGAUCGAUGUAAUGAUUAAUAGGGAUAGUUGGGGGCAUUAGUAUUCAAUUGUCAAAGGUGAAAUUCUUGGAUUUAUUGAAGACUAACUACUGCGAAAGCAUUUGCCAAGGAUGUUUUCAUUAAUCAAGAACGAAAGUUAGGGGAUCGAAGACGAUCAGAUACCGUCGUAGUCUUAACCAUAAACUAUGCCGACUAGGGAUCGGAUGAUGUUAAUUUUUUAAUGACUCAUUCGGCGCCUUACGGGAAACCAAAGUGU